CGCGGAGUAGAGCAGCUUGGUAGCUCGUCAGGCUCAUAAUCUGAAGGUCGUUGGUUCAAAUCCAGCCUCCGCAACCA
rnacentral:tRNA from 2 species